rnacentral:ncRNA from 1 species
UAUAUUUGCGACUAUCAAAAUACAUAAAAAUUAUUAAAAUUAAUAUUGGCAUG